GCCUCCUUGGCUCAGGGGCAGAGCGUUUGCCUGGUACUCAUCGAAAGCAGAAGGUCGAGAGUUCAUAUCUCUCACGAGGCA